rnacentral:rRNA from 1 species
UGUUUAUCAAAAACAUGUCUUUUUGUUUUUUUUAAAAGUCUAACCUGCUCAAUGAUUAUUUAAAUAGCCGCGGUAUAUUAACUGUGCUAAGGUAGCAUAAUAAUUAGUCUUUUAAUUGAGGUCUUGAAUGAAUGGUUUGACGAGAAAAUAACUUUAUUUAUUUGAUUUUAUUUGAAUUUAUUUUUUUGGUAAAAAUACCAAAAUGGUUAAGAGGGACGAUAAGACCCUAUAGAUCUUUAUAAUUAUUUAAUUAUUUAAUUUUUGGUUGUUUUUUUUUAUUUUUAUUUAUUUAUUUUGUUGGGGUGACAAUUAAAAAUUUAAACUUUAAUUUUUUUUUACAUUUAUACAUGAUUUUUUUGAUCUUUAUUUUUUGAUUAUAAGAAUUAGAUACCUUAGGGAUAACAGCGUUAUUUAUUUGGAGAGUUCUAAUUGAUAAAUAAGUUUGCGACCUCGAUGUUGGAUUAAAGUUAAUUUAUGGGGUAGGUUCUAUAAAAUUAGGUCUGUUCGACCUUUAAAACU